UUAUGCGUGACAUUUUUACGUAAUUUUCGCUUUUAAAUAAUGAAUUUUGUGAAUAUUGUAUAUUUUUGCUAAUCGAGCGUACUACCCAUCUUUUUCUGUCCGAAUGCUCACUCCUUUUAUGUAGUAGGUAUGUUUGAAAAUUCCACAUUAGUUUAACGUUGUCGUGUCGGCUGUUAAUAAAUAAUAUAUCAGCGAUAACAAUAUUGAGCGCGUUAAUAUUUCUGAAAAUCUGUAAGAAUUUUAUGGUCUUUCUUAGAAGUGACAUGUGUAAAAACUUUGUGAAAAUUGCGGAUUUGUUAAAAAAUUAACUUAUUUAGUGAAGCUUAACGUGUUGUUAUUAAUGGAAAAUUUGUACCGAUAGAUAAACAUAAGACAUCAUUAUGUUUAAUUAAGAUUACGGUUAAAAGCAAUUUGGAAUACCAGUAUCUCAGUAGUUGUUUGUGGUACAAAUGCAAAUCGUUACUUUUGGUUUACUUUUCUGGGAUAAUGGAAGAAGUUCAUUGGGAUUCCUGUUGGUCCUGCCGACUGAAGCAACAACUUUACUUCUGGUUUACCUUUCUGGAAUAAUGGAAGAAGUUCCUUGGGAUGUUCCUGUUGGUUCUGCCGAGUGAAGCCACAACGUGAGACCUCCACCAUCAUCGGGAGUUGAUGCAUCUGGGCAUGGACUUUCACCAUCCUUCCGGGGACUACAGGACAUGGGUCUUCAUCAUCCUUCUAGGGGAUCCAGCAUUCGCGUGUGCCGGGUCGGGAGUGUCCUGGUGCGACCGAAUUCGAACUUCGAGGUCUCCAAUGCUCGGGAUCUUGGAAUUUCCGAGAUACCGAGUUUUGGAAAUGUCGAAAUUUCGAAAUUUCCACAUUCCCAAAACUCGGUAUCACGGAACUUCCAAAUUUCGUGCACUGGGGACUUCUUAGUUCAAAUUCGGAAGCACCAGCCGUUGGGCGAAGCCCCGGUUGGUCGUCGUCUUAUAACCAACCGUUGGGCAAAGCCCCGGACGGUCGUCGAAUCACGAAUUUGUAACUUACUAAACCUGGUAGACGUGAAAAAUUCAUUUUUGUCCUUUUUUUUUAAAUAAAUAAAAAACGUGAAUAAGG